CACGUAGGCGGUUUGUUAAGUCGGAUGUGAAAGCCCCGGGCUCAACCUGGGAACUGCAUUCGAUACUGUCAGACUAGAGUAUAGAAGAGGCAAGUGGAAUUCCGGGUGUAGCGGUGAAAUGCGUAGAUAUCCGGAGGAACAUCAGUGGCGAAGGCGACUUGCUGGUCUAAUACUGACGCUGAGGUGCGAAAGCGUGGGGAGCAAACG
rnacentral:rRNA from 1 species